UGUAGGCGGCCUCUUAAGUCUGGUGUGAAAGCCCGGGGCUUACCCCCGGAAGGGCACUGGAAACUGGGAGGCUGGAGUACCGGAGAGGAGGGUGGAAUUCCUGGUGUAGCGGUGAAAUGCGUAGAUAUCAGGAGGAACACCGGUGGCGAAGGCGGCCCUCUGGACGGAUACUGACGCUGAGACGCGAAAGCGUGGGGAGCAAACAGGAUUAGAUACCCUGGUAGUCCACGCUGUAAACGAUGGGCACUAGGUGUUCGGGGUAUUGACCCCCUGAGUGCCGCAGCUAACGCAUUAAGUGCCCCGCCUGGGGACUACGGCCGCAAGGUUAAA
rnacentral:rRNA from 1 species